AAACAACUACUCUUUAACAUCAUACCUUUGACUGUUCCUUAUCUUGUAACUUUACCUAAUGGUUACAAAGUAAAAGUAACUUGUACAGGUUCUUUUGCACUAACUUCUUCCCUCACUCUUCAUAAUGUGCUUCUGGUUCCUUCCUUUAAACACAGCUUGAUUUCUGUUCACAAGUUGAUUAAACAGUUGCACUGUAUAGUUUCAUUCACACCAACUUCCUGUUUACUUCACAUGAUACAGGACCAUUCUCUGAAGAGGCCUCUGGAUCUUGGUAAGGAGGAAGCUGGCUUAUACAAACUGUGUUGGGUGCCUCCUUCCCUUUCUCCCUCUUCUGUUUUUCCUUUUACUUCUGUGCGUGGUUUGCCUAAUUUUUGUAAUGAUGAUACUAUGUCUGACAGCAAAAAUAUUUGUUUACCUUCAAUUGUAAACAAUUCCAUUUGUAAUAAUGUUUUUAUCAAUGAUAUGAAUUACAUUUGGCAUUUAAGACUGGCACAUACUCCCUUUACAAAUAUGAAACACAUUUUGGGUUUGUCUUUUCCACUUGCUCCUAAACAACCCUUUCCCUGUUCUGUCUGCCCUAUGGCUAAGCAGACUAGACUUCCUUUUCAUGACAGUAAUAUCAGUACAACUAGACCAUUCCAAUUGAUACAUGUGGAUACUUGGGGGCCUUACCACACUUCUACUUCUUUUGGUUACAAAUACUUCCUUACUAUAGUUGAUGACUUCUCUAGGGAAACCUGGACACACCUAAUGGGAUCCAAAAUCAGUGCCUUUCCCUAGUUAAGUCUUUCAUUUCCUUUGUUAAAACUCAAUUCAAUUCUGUAGUCCAAACUGUCAGAAGUGACAAAGCCUUAGAACUGGGGUCCAGCAGUGAGGGAAAAUCCUUUUUUAGUAGCCAGGGAUCAUUCAUCAAACCUCUUGCCCUCAUUCUCCCCAACAGAAUGGUGUUGUUGAAAGGAAACACAUAACACUCCUUGAAACAUGUAGAGCAUUACUUUUUCAAUCUGGUCUACCUGUCUCUUUCUGGGGUGAUUGCCUAUUAACUGCCACAUAUCUCCUUAACAAAAUACCUACCAGAACUCUCCAUCAUAAGUCUCCCCAUGAAAUUUUAUAUGGCAAAGCCCCAUCCUACUCUCAUUUGAGAGCUUUUGGAUGCCUUGCUUAUGCUGCUGUCUCUAUCCCUCAAAGGGACAAACUAAAACCUAGGGCCCAUUCUUCCUUUUGGAUGCCUUGCUUAUGCUGAUGUCCCUAUCCCUCAAAGGGACAAACUAAAACCUAGGGCCCAUUCUUGUGUGUUUAUGGGUUACCCCUUUGCUAAAAAGGGUUAUAAACUGUAUGACUUGGGUACCAAGAAGUGUUUUGUUUCAAGGGAUGUUGUUUUUCAUGAAUCUUAUUUUCCUUUUAAGGACAAUCCUUCCUUUGUUCAUCCUUCUCCUUCCUCUGUUCCUUCUGUUCCCCCUGCUGAUGAUUUUCCUGUCUCUGACUUUCUUAAUUUUCCUUCCCCUGAUCCUCUUGCACCUACUGUUCCUGUUGCUGCUUCUCCUUCCCUUCCUUCUUUCAAUCCAGAUCUUACUGCUCCUGUCCUACCUCCUUCUCUUCCUCUUCCUGCAUCUAGGAAGUCUACUAGACAGCAUAAUCCUCCUUCCUAUCUUAGGGAUUAUGUCUGUCAACUUCCUGCAUUUUCUGGUUCCUCCUCAUCCACUUUGGAAUCUGAACCUAUGUACUACUCUCGAGCUACAUCUGUCCCAGCAUGGCAGGAUGCAAUGAGACAAGAGUUAGCUGCUCUGGAUGCUAAUCACACUUGGGACAUUGUCCCUCUUCCUGUUGGUAAGAAACCUAUUGGGUGCAAGUGGGUCUACAAAAUCAAAUACAAAUAUGAUGGUCUUGUUGAAAGGUAUAAGGCAAGAUAGGUUAUUAGGGGUGACACACAGGUUGAGGGGAUUGAUUUUACAGACACCUUUAAUUAAGAUGACCUCUGUCAAAUGCCUUAUUACUGUGGCUGUCAAACAUCAUUGGCCUCUUUUUCAGCUUGAUGUCAAUAAUGCCUUUCUUCAUG
rnacentral:lncRNA from 1 species